AUUGAACGCUGGCGGCAUGCCUUACACAUGCAAGUCGAACGGUAACGCGGGGCAACCUGGCGACGAGUGGCGAACGGGUGAGUAAUAUAUCGGAACGUGCCCAGUAGUGGGGAUAGCCCGGCGAAAGCCGGAUUAAUACCGCAUACGACCUACGGGUGAAAGCGGGGGAUCGCAAGACCUCGCGCUAUUGGAGCGGCCGAUAUCAGAUUAGGUAGUUGGUGGGGUAAAGGCCUACCAAGGCAACGAUCUGUAGUUGGUCUGAGAGGACGACCAGCCACACUGGGACUGAGACACGGCCCAGACUCCUACGGGAGGCAGCAGUGGGGGAAUUUUGGACAAUGGGGGGCAACCCUGAUCCAGCAAUGCCGCGUGAGUGAAGAAGGCCU
rnacentral:rRNA from 1 species